rnacentral:lncRNA from 1 species
UUAACGACUACAAAUUUCAGGUCAUUAAGAGGUGAAUGCUUAGAUUUCCUCUUCCUCCUUGCGAGUUUCUUCACCAAAAGAAUGGACUCAAAAGUGUAAAAACCAACAACACAGCCUGAAAACUUCCACCUCACACCUAGAAGUUUUAGCGUCCCUUCAAUAUUAGGAGUAACUGUCAACUGCACCUGAAAAGGGUAAAAGAGAGAACAGUAAGUCAAUAAACAAAGAAUGUAAUGCAAACACUGGCAGGGGGUGAAUCUGUUGGCCUC